UACAGAGGGUGCGAGCGUUAAUCGGAAUUACUGGGCGUAAAGCGUGCGUAGACGGUUAUUUAAGUCGGGUGUGAAAGCCCCGGGCUCAACCUGGGAAUUGCAUUCGAGACUGAAUAGCUAGGGUGCGGAAGAGGGAAGCGGAAUUUCCGGUGUAGCGGUGAAAUGCGUAGAUAUCGGAAGGAACAUCAGUGGCGAAAGCGGCUUCCUGGUCCAGCACCGACGUUCAGGCACGAAAGCGUGGGGGGCAAACAGG
rnacentral:rRNA from 1 species